GCGGGAUGUAGUUCAGUGGAUCAGGCUCCGCCCGACGUGCCAUGGGUGGCGUGAUCGAUCUACAUGAGUGGACCUACUGGUUUUUAUCCCGUUCUAACCAGUGUUGAACGAGUGGUAUGUCAAAGGUUAAGUUUGACCACACGCUGAACAUACCUGAUGUCUUCAAGAUAAGCUUGGCUGUCUCCGGGUGUUUGACGUUCACCAUUGGCAGAUAUCCCAGCCACAGCAGGUUGAGGCGAGGCAUAACACUCAUCAGGUCUCGCUUGAACUUCAGACCAGCCUCGUUGGGUCCCGGGAUCUACAACAACAGACACGAUACACCAGUGUUAACUGUGUUUGUUUGUAAUGAACGCGGACCGUUUCAUUGCGUUUGUUUUGAAUCAAAAGGAAACCAUUUCAUUGCGUUUGUUUUGAAUUAAAUGGGGGCCAUUU